GUGCUCACUUCAGCAGCACAUAUACUAAAAUUGAAAUGAUACAGAGAUUAGCAUGGACCCCGUGCAAGGAUACAUGCAAAUUCAUGAAGUAUUCCAUAUGUUU